rnacentral:rRNA from 1 species
GCUGCAUGGUUGUCGUCAGCUCGUGCCGUGAGGUGUCGGGUUAAGUCCCAUAACGAGCGCAACCCUUAUCGUUAGUUGCCAGCGGGUAAAGCCGGGAACUCUAGCGAAACUGCCGGUGUAAACCGAGAGGAAGGUGGGGAUGACGUCAAAUCAGCACGGCCCUUAUGUCCAGGGCUACACACGUGUUACAAUGGCCGGUACAGAGGGCAGCUACCUGGAGACAGGAUGCGAAUCUCGAAAGCCGGUCUCAGUUCGGAUCGGAGUCUGCAACUCGACUCCGUGAAGCUGGAUUCGCUAGUAAUCGCGCAUCAGCCAUGGCGCGGUGAAUACGUUCCCGGGCCUU